CACACAACGGGGUUUCGGGGCUGUGGACCCUGUGCCAGGAAAGGAAGGGCGCAGCUCCUGCAAUGCGGAGCAGCCAGGGCAGUGGGCACCAGGCUUUAGCCUCCCUUUCUCACCCUACAGAGGGCAGGCCCUUCAGCUCCAUUCUCCUCCAAGGCUGCAGAGGGGGCAGGAAUUGGGGGUGACAGGAGAGCUGUAAGGUCUCCAGUGGGUCAUUCUGGGCCCAGAGAUGGGUGCUGAAGCUCCCACACCUGCCUGUGAAAAUGGAUUCCUCUCUCACCUGGGAGAGCCAGGUGCUGCCCCGAGAAGGAUGCAUUUAUGGCUUCAUGAAGUCUUUCCUGACCCCCGAUGCUGCUGACUAUAGAGACAAAGUCUCACUAUGUUGCUCAGGCUGGUCUUGAACUCCUGGCCUCAAGCGAUCCUCCCACCUUAGCCUCCCAAAGUGUUGGGAUUAUAGACAUGAGCCACUGCACCUGGCCAACCUUGGGCAAGUUCUUAAACCCUUCAAAGCCUCAUUUUUCUCCAAUCAUAAAAGGGAAAGAUGGUAAUAUUUUCCCCGCCAAAUUCUUGUCGGAUGCCCUCACAGAAUUGAGAUUAUGUACGUAAAACACCAGGUGCCUAACCCGGCACAGAGCAGGAGGGCUAAGCGUGACAUCCAGCAUGUGGUCAGUGGAAUCCAGUAUUCCUACCCACCUCUCUAGUCUCCCCUCCACCCCUCUCCCUUUCAGAGGCACCAAGCUGCUUGUGGUCUUGUCUAUUCCCACUCCCUGCCCGACUGAACAUUUUCUCUACCUCCUGAUCAUCAGCAGCAGAAACUGGCUGCUCUUCCUCCUGGGUAGACAGCCAGACUGUAUUUCCCAGCUGCCCCUGCAGUGAGAUGUGGCCAUCGGAGCCAGCAUUGGCCAAUGGACUCUGCAUGGGAGUGACGCAUGCUGCCUCCAGGCUUGUCUCUAAAACCUCCCACGUGUCCUCCACCUGCUCUUCCCACCUCCAAGGAGCACGGCAAUUGUGGAAGACCCAGAUUAGUGAUGGCAGAACCAUAGAUGGGAGGAACCUGGGUCCCUGACUUAAAGUAUCAUGGAUUUGGAUGUUCCCUUAGUGAGAAAUAAACUUCCAUUGUGUUUAAGCCUUUAUUUGUUUAUAGUUGGUUACAGCAACUGCCUUCUUUUAAUUAAAACACUCCUGCUGCU
rnacentral:lncRNA from 1 species